rnacentral:rRNA from 1 species
UACAGAGGUCUCAAGCGUUGUUCGGAAUCACUGGGCGUAAAGGGUGCGUAGGCGGUUUGGUAAGUCAGAUGUGAAAGGCGGGGGCUCAACCCCUGGACUGCAUCCGAUACUGCCGAACUAGAGAACUGGAGAGGAGUCUAGAAUUCUCGGUGUAGCAGUGAAAUGCGUAGAUAUCGAGAGGAAUACCAAUGGCGAAGGCAGGACUCUGGACAGUUUCUGACGCUGAGGCACGAAGGCCAGGGUAGCGAAC